UCUGAGGCUGGUGGAGCGUGCCAGGAGCAGCCCUGUGAUAGCUGUUUGCUGCUAACCUGCAAACACUACCCUGAGCUGCUCCUGGCUCCAUCCCACGUCAA